UGUCAGAGAAGUUACUGCCUGUGUUCUCUUCUAGGAUUUUUAUGUUUUUGCUCUUCAAAGUCUUCGAACACAUGAAACAAUCCCCUACCCCAGAUUCUGGUCUUCUGUGAAAGUGAUUAAAAAUCAACCUCUGGGAAAUGCCUUGCUUUGGGCACUGGGCUUCCUGCCUGGGCUACUCUUGAUGCAGACCAAGCUGGUGUGAUGAACCAGAGAGGAAUUCCAAAGUUGGACUGCUACACCGGAGACCGUAUUGCUUCUCGGCACAGAAGCACUCAAUUGCCUAUUUGGUUCCUGGAACACCGAUCUGUAACUUCAAUGACGGGCAUGGAUGGGGAGUGGCUAAAAGAGUGCUAGAAAUUAUGGAUUUGUUCAUGACAGAAAAACUAGUGUGAUUAAUUGGUAUUUUCUGGAAUGGCUUUUUAGCAGUGGUUCCCUAACCUGAUCAGGACUCAGAAUUACAAGAGAAACUUAAAUACAAAGAUUUAGAUUCAGUGCUUCUUGGCUGGGUACUGUGAAUCUUUGAGCAGCCAUUUUGUGAACCACUGUUUUAUGGGGAUGGACAAGGCCUAGCAUAAAUAAAACGACUUGGGGAAGAGAAAGCAGGUUGGUGGACAUGUGUUGGUAGAUCUCUUCCAGAGGUAGUAUACGGAGCAUGUUUUAUUCUACGUCUUAAAAAAAAUUGAGAUUUAUUUACAUAAUAAUAGAACAGACAGACCUCUUUAUGUUUCACAGCUUUUGUAGCUGAUUUUAUGUAACUUUGACAGUUCCAGAUGGCUGCAAAAUUUCAAAUUUCUCUUUAGGACCUCAAUAAAUUCUUUGAAACAUUGUGGGUGUGUGGAGGAGGCAGGUCCAUUUUCUUCCUGAGAUUCUUUUAUCGAUAAACUUAGUGGGGCAUGGAAGCGGGGAUGAAAAAGACAAGCAUACAGCUGAGCACAAAUGAGUGGCAAGAGACAGAGGACAAAUGUGAAGAAGCAAGACAGGAGGGCAGUCCUGUCCCCCCCACAGUUGUUAUCUCAUGAUACCCAUUUCUUUCAACACAGUUAUCACAAAGAAACUUGUGAGAACACAAAUGGAAGGAAUGGCAUAUUCCAGUGGUUUGAGGGAACAUUUUAGUGUCCUGGUGGGGAUCUACUAGAAAAGUGGACAGAGUGGCAACAGUGGCUGCUGCUGUGGCAUCUGUCUCUGGCCAUCCAUGGAAAUGCUGUUUCUUGUUUUCUGCCUCUGGGGCACCUGCUUAACAAGAACUGCCGUCUGGUCUUUAAAGGUGGUUUCUGCAGCGGUCUUCCUGACCCCUAGCCUGUUUUGGUUCAUGUCCCUAUUUUAUGCUCCCAUGACUAUACUUCUAAUGAUAGUGUUUUUCAGUUUAUUAUAAUUUUUUUGAAUUGUGGUAUAAUAUUUUAAGAUUUAAUUUUUUUCUCCAUUACUCUAUCUUUUUAUUCUUGUGUUUAAAUUCCAGCUGGUUCUGUGCUUAGGGAUAGGGGAGGGUUAUGGCAGGAAGGAAAUCAGUGGUGAUGCAAAAGCUUCCAUGACUAUUUUUCCUGAAGCUUAAACCCCAUUAUCAGAGAAUAAUCUCAGGUACAGAUAAAAUCUCUUGGCCAGAAACAUGAAAGGAAGACUUUCUCAGAGUUUAGAAAAUACCCCCUUCUAACUGGAGGGUGGAAGAUGAGGGGAAAAUGGGAACUGUGGGUCUGAAAUGGAGAGAUUAUAUGCCCUGCUCCCCUAGUAGAGUCUGGUAGGGGAAAGAUCUGGGGGGAACGGCCAAAUUGUGAGUCUAGGGGUUGAUGGAAUGAAAGGAGUUUUGGAAUAAAAAAAUCAGAGCUGGCAUCAGCCUUUUAAGACUGCAAAGAAGCCCUCUGCAGCUUGUAUGGAAAUUCCUCUUACAGCUGGGCCCAGUGAGGCUUUAGAAAACUCAUUGGCAGGACCAGACUAAUUAACAGGUCAGAUUGAGAUCAGGUAUGCUGCCUUCAAGAAAGAACACUAUCCUUGGCAGUUUUAUUAGUUUGCAAGGGCUGCUGUAACAAAGAACCAGAAACUGAGUGGCUUAAAUAAUAGAAGUUUAUGGUCUCACAGUUUUAGACACUAAAAGAUCAAGGUAUACUUUGGUUGGUUCCUUCUGAGGGCAAUGAGGAAAUCUGUUUCUUGCCUUUCUCUCAGCUUCUGGUGAUUUGGUGGCAAUUUUUGGUAUUCCUUCCCUGAUCUCUGCCUCCAUCUUCACAUGGUAUUCUCUCUGAUGUGUAUCUGUGUCCACACUUCCCCUUUUUACAAAUACAACAGUCAAAUUAAAUUAGGGCCACCCUCAUGACUCCAUCUUAACCUGAUUACUUUUGUGAAGACCCUGUCUCCAAAAAUGGUCCAAAUCAUUCUCCAAAUAAUUCAACCCAUAACUGCUGGUGAACUUGCUAGCAAGGAAACCAGCUGCAGUUCUCCUUGCAGUAGAAGAAAAUUUUCACUUUUAGCUAAGGGAAUGCUUCAUCAGUGAAAAGAGAAAACCCUCACUAGCAGCUGACUGCCUGGCAGAAUCAUGUUUUCAAUGUUUAGGAAUGAACUGAGGGUAAAGGAUGAGAGAAGAACUUUUUCUUCCUGUGGUGAAGUAUGGGUUUCCCCCGGAUAGAGAGGGAUGAUUGGUCAAAAGACUUGAAAAAGUGGACUGUGUGGAAAGGAAAGGAAAUUAAAGGGAGAUGUGGGGAAGAGAGAUGGGUUGGAGAGAGAGGAACAGCCACAUGGGAUACCUCCUCUGAGUCUUUGCAUGCCCUGUGUGAUUUUGCUUUUCUGAGAUGCACUGGUUCUUUGGCAAAAUACAUAGUGUGCCUCCUUCAUAGUCCUGUGUGUACUGCUCUGGGGGAAGACAAAAGGCAGGAGGUCUGCAAAGACUCCUUCAGUCAUCUUGUAGGGACUCUGCAGGAUGCAGGCUUCCUUUCCUACUUCCUGUUCCUAGUUGGAAUCACCAGGGCUGUUGUCAUAGUGGAGUGAGCCAUGGGACACCACCGCAAAGCAGAGACAAUAAAUCUGAGCUGCCUCAUGGAGAUCACAGACCACCUUUCAAGACAGAAAAGGAAAUGCCCUUUCCAGUGUGGUAAGUCAUGAACGUUUAGGUGACUUUUCAGACAUUCUGUGGAUUCCACUGAAGACUGAAGAAUAACUUUUCACCAAGGUGAGACAACCUCCAAACCUGGAUUUUUCCACUUCAUGUGAAAAAUUUUUUUUUUUAAUUCACUCAAGGUGCCUUUAAUGAUUGCCUCCACUGUCAUUACAUUCUCUAAGCCUUCGGAUUUCCAGUUAACUAAUGCACCAUUUAAACCCUUGAUAACUAGGAAAUGUUCCAGUUCAGCCAGCUUGUAUUCCAUGAUCCUGAGGUUUACCAAUAUUUGCUUCUGCAUGGUUAUGGUGUGUGGGGAAUUAAUUAAGAUAUCCCUAGAGAGGCUGAUGACUGAAAGACUCUUAUCAGUAUCGCUCUUAGUUGACCCAGUAAAAGAGGUUGCUCUUACUAGCGCAGGAGAAGUCGAAUUUGAUGACAUUUCACCAACGCUGCUCUGAAAGUGGCUUUUCCAGAAGACAAACAGAAAAGCAAACAAAAUGCCGCUCAGUAGAAGCAACAGCAUGCUCAUGUUUCCUCUUCCGCCUCUUUCUCUCUUCUCGGGCACGGAGGUACUCAGCUGGCAGUUGCGAAGCAGAGGGACACUAGUCACCGGACUAGGGAAGUCAUGGGCCAUGAUGCUAAGUAUCCCACACUGCCUGGUGCAGCUACACCUCAGGUGAAAUUUAAAUCUUUUGGAGUUUGUCAUUCUUUCUCCAGAGAAAGGAAAUGAGGGAAGGAGAAAUGAAUCACAUUCAUAUUAAGAGGAAAAAGUGCAACGCCCAGGCAAAAGUACCAUGGUAGUGUGUGAAUAAAGAAAAGGGAAGAGUGACUUCAACAAGAACAAUGGAAGAGGGGAAUUUUGGACUUUGUAAAAUUAAUUACUAUUUACCAAGCUCCUCAUUGUGGCAGACAAAUGGAUUUAAAAAAUAUAAACUAAUUUUUAUUAAUCAAAUACUUCAUACAAUAUAAUCUUUUUUAUUCUAUCUUAUGGCAAUGUAAUUCCUUCUUCUGGUAUAUAAACAAUUUUACAUCUUAGCAGGAUUUAUGAAGAAACCAUUUAUAUCUCUCUUUUAAA